ensembl:lncRNA
CAGCCCUCUGUAACACGCAUGAUCAAGCAUGGACUUUGCAGCUCAGCUCCAUCUCUCCACAAAGCCUGCCCUGCACUCUGCCACCCACCAAGGCAAGCAACUUGCAUGACAUGAAUUCUUGAGGUCACAGAAGAGGUCACUGGAGUAUUUUUAUGGUGUGCAGCAAUAGAACAGGGGCCAACAUGGAGAAAUUAGAAAAUAGGAAGUUCCAUAAUAACACAAGGAAGAACUUCUUCACUGUCAGAAUGACAGAGCACUCAUUGUGGUGUCUCCUCUGGAGAUAUUCAAAACCCAUCUAGACGCCUACCUGUGUGACCUUCUGCAGGGAACCUGCUUUAGCAAGGCGUUGCACUCAAUGAUCUCUAGAAGUCCCUCCCAAACCCCACAGUUCUGCAAUUCUGUGUGAUUUCGGACACCUCUUUGCUGUGUCAUGGAAGCACAGUCAGAGAAUUCUAGCUUCCAUGAGCAAGCUGAUUAGUCAGCCUGCCAACAUGUGAAUGUACACAGCUCAAAAUUUUACAAGUGUGCAAUUCUGUGUAUGUGCGCAUGGCUGUGCAUUUAUAAAGCCAAUGAGGGCCUGCUAAGGAAUUCAAAGCCCUGCAAGAGAAUACCAGUCAGAAGAUAAACCAUUUCAGCUUAUCUCAACAGGAUUCUUGUCCAUGCAGCUCUAUCCUGUGUACGACACAUGACAGCUGCUGUAAAAGCUGAAGAGCAGCCCUUCCUGUUUUCGCACUGUUUUUCAGGCUCUGCACAUGUUUUGUUUCACCACUCUGUUAACCACAGCAUAGGUUCAGAGACAUCCGUGUCACAGGAGCAGCCAGAUUGUCCCCUCUCCAGGGCACCACCUCAAGGGUGGUGUCACCUUCCAGGCGGUACCACCUUCCAGUGCAGGAGGCACAUUCCUUGUUGGGUUGGCUGGGAGACCUUGUCCCAGGAGCCACUAGGAUGUUUGUGACUGUGAGCAGGAUGCAGCUGGAGUGCCAGAUUUGGCGCUUAGCAGUAGGCUCAGGAACAAACAUUCAGACUACAAAAUGAAUCCUUGCAAAUUGCCAGGGAGAAAGAUUUGAAAGUGCCCCAUCUACCUGCUGCUUUUUAUCAGGGGUGUCUCUCACAAAUCAGCAAUCAUUUGUAGCCAUAACCUGGGGGGAAUAUUUGCUGGAGAUACAGCCUUCCAUAAAGCUUUCGGAUUAAGAGACAUGGAUAUUUGCAAAUGCCAUCUUAUUUCUAAAGCUGUCAUAACAUUAGUAGCAGACACAUUAGUCAGGAAACUAAGCUUUCUAGCAACAGUGCAGUAUCUCCUGACACAAGAAAGAUGCCGAGCAGUUGGACUGGAUUCAGAGCAAGAUCACGAAGAUAAUAAGAAGGCUGGAGCACCUCUCCUAAGAAAGGCUAAGGGAGCUGUGUUUGUUCAGCCUGGAGAAGAGAAUGCUCCAGGGAUACCUCAUUCCAGCCUUCCAGUACUUAUAAACAAGAGAGAAAUCAACUUUCUACGUAGGCAAAUAGUGAUAGGUCAAGGUGGAAUGGUUUCGAACUAAAAGAGGGGAGAUUUUGAUUAGAUGUUUGGAAGAAAUUCAUUACUCAGAGGGUGGCGAGGCACCAGCACAGGCUGCCCAGAGAAGCUGUGUGUGCCUCAACCCUGGAGGCUCAGGGGCAGAUUGGUGGGGCUCUGGGCUGCAUGAGCUGGUGAGGGGUAGCCAUGUCCAUAGAGAUAGGUGGGAACUGUCUGGGCUUUAAUGUCCCUUUCAGCCCAAGCCAUUCUAUGAUUCUAUGAUCUAUGAAUUUUUUUGCAUCCGAAUUUUUUAAUGCACAGCCUGACCUUGUAAGCUUUAUAUCUCUGCACACAAUGGCCUUUAACCAGGAACAUUUAUUUUAUGGAAAAUAAAUAAAUAAACCAUUUCACAGAGCUUAAGCAGACAAGCUACGGCUGACCAGCCCCACAGAAAGAGACAUCAUUACAAUUACAGCCGCAGCAGACCGUGAUGGUAUCUCAGGAGUCAAGCCUGUGCACUGUGCUAGUGCUGCUCAGACUACAGCAAGGCAAACCUUUUAGUUUCAUUAUUCUGGCUGUGCCUUGCUGCCAUCCUGGGGAUUUUCCCUUGCUUAUUUAUGUUUCUGCUUUUUUUUCUGGUCAUGAAGUCACAGCUGCCAGUAGUCGAAGGAGUGAGAAGGAAGAAUAUCAGACCUGGAGAGAUUGUAGUCUGGAGUGGGAAAAAAACGCAUUCCAUCUCAGAUGAAAAAUGCAAGGGAAAUGUGGAGGGAGAGGGAAAAAAAAAAAAAGUGAUCUGUAACAGACAUUCAAAAGGAGGGAUGAAAAAUCAGAGAAGUGUAGAAGGGAAGGAGCCUUGGCAGUGACAGAUAGUAAAUUCAUACGUAAGCAGGCCAUGAAAUACAACAUGACAAAAAGCUGUAGGAACUUUGCCUCCACAGUCUGGCCAUGGCUGUUGCAAAUGAGAGGAGUCACUGCUCGCAUGUGCAGGCUCAUCCUCUCCUCCUCCAGCCUCCCCGGCUGGUACUGGCACAAGACAGGGCUGGGCACCAGAGCUGUGCCAAAGUGUGGUGCCCACAGUGAGCAAGGCAGCUAUGCUUUGUCUAUGGCAGCUUUUCUCAGCUGUUACAAGGAGACUUCUUAGGAUGGAAGCACGGGGUAGCCUGGGAGAAAGAAGUUACGUGACUGGUUUGAAGCAGCAGCUUACAGCUCCUGCAGCAGGAAGUUACAUUCCUUCUGUCCCUGAGGUGCUUUCCAGCAGGAAAACACUCAGAGCUGAGAGGAAAAUUGGGGGGGAAAAAAAGAACAUCUGUUUAGCUUUGUCUCAGCAGUGACUGUGAGGAUAUUAGCAGAUAACCCACAGAGUUCUGAAAGUUGUAGCCACUGAAGCAGAACAUGAAAGUUGGAGAGGAAAGUUUGUAGGGAAGCAGGAUCACUGUUUGACAUAGUAGCAGGCUGAGAAUGACCCAGACUGAAAAUCUCCACCAGAGAUGUCCACAAAGCCAGAGACAUCUUCAGGCAGCCACUGGUUCUGGCUGAUACCCAGAUGUGUUGCUGUGAUACCUGCCAGGUGUGGGCAGGGAAACACUGCAGCUAAUCCACACCAUCUCUGAAUAAGGAGUCUGUGACCUCAUGGUGUGGAAUAAGGCCAUUCCUCCUCUCAGCUGAUGCUAUGGGCAAUUCCAGUAAGGGAACUUCACCAAAACUGGGAUUCAGUUCUGUGUGGUUAAGGCAGCUACAUAAUGUAGCAGCAGUAAAAUACAUCCUUUUUCUGACUGUGCCAGUACCAGCAACCUUCCAGUUAUCAUCCCACUGCAGAAAUGGCUUGCUUGCAUUCUAAGACUCUGGGGAAAAUUGCCCAGAAUGUGUUUCAGGAGGAGAGUGUGUCAUCCUCUGAUAACUACCUGCAGUGCAAAGUGCUACAGCUGAUGCAGUGAGUCUAUGAACCUGCCCUUAGCAUACGAUCAAGCAGAUUUCCCAGGUUUAAGAGCAAUAAUGCAAAAGCUGUUCCAUGCAUUUAGUUAUCCUUCUGCAUACAUAACCUUCAUGCAUGCCAACAGACAUGGAAAUGUGUUGCAUUUUUUUACAACCCAUUCUUUGUUGCUGGGCCUGCUUACUGGCAAUGUACAGCAAUUCAGACUGCAUAUAUGUCAUUUCAGCUUGCUGCCUGUUGGCAAGAGCAAGCAGGCAAAUGCAUGCUAAAAACCACUUCUCACAGGUGGUCCUUCAUGAGCUGAGGCCCAGCAGGGUGUGGGAGUAACAUCUCUGCCCUCUGCAUGACCAUGUUCCCAGAUUUCAGUCCAGCUGAACAGCAAAUAAAAAUAUAACAGCAGGAGAGGUUGUAAUACUUGCUUUGUACAUGGUUUUCUGUCACAUCACAGCUCCCAUGGAAUAGCAGUGAGAUGCGUGAUUUUGCCUGUCUAGAGAUAUAUUCUCUCCUUUCUCCCUCCCGUUGAAAAAGCUCAUGGUCAUUCAAGAACACUGAGAUGGAUAUGAGGCCUUAUGAAUGCUGUGGCCAACGUAUAAUGGAUGGAGCCCAAGUUGGCCUUCAGCCACAGCAGUGACCCAUCAGUCACAGGUGAGGAUAUCCUGCUCUUUAUGUGGGAUGACCUUUUGGCAGUGUCUACAAAGACAUCUCUAGGCUGCUGAAGCUGGCAGUAUCCUUUCCCAGCCCAAGCAACCGUGUCUGAGGGAAAUGGAGAAGUUACCCAGAGCAAUGUCUGUGAACAGACAAGGUUUGGGAGGCUGUUCAGAAGACCGUAACAGACAAGAGUUCAUUUUUAACCAAAAUUAUUGGAUCUAUUCAUUGAUCCAAGCACCAUUAGAAGCAAGAACAACUUCCCAGGAAAUACAUCAUUCAUACAGUACAAUGUACACAAUGUGUAACAGAUUCUGAGGAAUAAGAGCAGGUAGUCCUGUACUCAGGAAAAAUGUUAGUAAUUAUUCACUGAAUGGGGGGCACAGAAGGAGAACGGAGCAGCAUCAGAAGAUCAAAUAAGGGUUUUUCCACAUAAUAUAUCCCCUAAACAGUAUGCAUAAAAUCACUUGACAAAAGAUCUCUUCUCCAAUAUAGCAUUCUUUCUUCUUUCCUCUAUAGCACAAGACAGAAUCCAGAGAAUAUAAGCAUCCAUGAAAGACUGAAGCAUCUCUUUGCAAAACCCACAUGGCUGGAGAGCUUGUAUUUCCCUUCUAACUCUACAAACUGGCAACAAAAAAAAAGGUCAAAACAGGGAAAGGGGGGAAUCCCACAGCACCAGCCAGACAGGAUGAGGAGAAUUGUUUCCUAAGGGCAGGCUGAAAUGAUGGAAUUUUCUCUUUCAUUUUCAGCAGAGGAGGAGAAGUUUCAUUCCCACCUGUUCUUCUCAGCCAUAACUUCUGGAUUUCAGUUUCUGAAACGUUCAGUCUGAUGUCAGUUUAAAAUGCAUACCCAUCACAACUGCACAGCAUACUGUUCAUCAGCACUGAUUUAAAGGAGCUACUUCAGCUGCAUUCAUUUAUACCUGGAGAGAAAUCUUCUAAAACAUUUCUUUGGAAGUAAGACUUCUGGUAGUAUGGGAAAUUAAACUGAUGCAAACUCCCAGAGAUUGCUGCAGCAAGAGGGGUCAGAAUCAUAGAAUCAUUAGACUUGGAAGGGACCUUUAGAGGCCGCCUGAUCCAACUCCCCUGCAGUGAACAGGGACACCUACAACCAGUCAGCAGAUGUCCUCUCAGCUGUUCCCUGUUGUAGAGUGGUCCCUUGGUGAGGAACAUCCACAGCAACGGGAGCAACUCCAGCACUGCAGAAGCCACAGCGACACGUGGAAUGGAAAACACGAGGUAUUUAGCUCUGCCAUUAUGAAGGAGCAACACCAGGAGCAACAUCUUACAAUAGGGUUCAACCCAGAGAGAGGAAUCAAUGACUCAGCCUUUUCUUGAAGCAUCUACACCAAAACCAAGA